CACAAUCAUUACAGCCUGGCAGAUGGGGCCUUCGCUUUCACUUCAGACGCUCCCCUUGCCUUCAGGAAACCAGUUUCCUCACGGAUAUGAGCUACCCAACGCUUGCCACAAACUUUCCUGUUAACAGAUUCGUUUUGACAGUGGUCUAAACUACAAAUGUUCUGGAACCACAUCCAAAGAGCCUCUGAAGUGUGGUUCAAUCUGUAUGCUACCUCUCAGGGCCAUUUUAGAAUAGAAUUGGCUGGGGACUGAACAGCACUGCAUCAGAAGGAGAAAUAAACCUGGAUCUAAAGUCAAAGUCUAAGAUUGUCCUGAUCUUCCAGAGGUUCUCUGAUUUGAGAAUAAUUUUAACCUUUCCUGUGACUCUGAUAAAAGCUGUGGAUUCUUUUCUGGGGAAUGGAGCAUGUGCAUAUAUACAUAAAACUUUGCUUGUUGCUUUUUAAGGGACCAUGGACUUCAGGUUAAAAAGCCUUGGCCUAGAAGUAAAAUGGGGCCUGGUCACUCUUAUUUGGACUGGAAUAUUCUCCCAUCAAAUCUUCUUUGAUAUUGGCCUAAGGAGUCUUCAGUCAUUCAUGGGGAGUUCAUGUUUCAUUGUAUUUGCUUUGAUAUUUAUGAUUUCUGGUGUUAUUUUUAGGUAAGAGAAGUUUCUAUAGUGCCAUUCAGUUUCAGAUGCAGUGUCAAAUAAAUUCAUAAUAUAUCAAGUCUGGUGUUGUAAUAAUAAUAAUAAUGCUGACCUUGAUUUAAUGUCAACUUUUUUCCUCUCAAAAUGUAGAACUGGAUCCUGGGCUUCUUGCAGACUGAAGCCUCAAGUUUAUGACUGGGCAAGGAUUUUGAUUGGCUUCUUUGCUCUUUUCUAUGUGUGUUGUUUAUCCUCCCUGAUCUUGCCAGCUGUGAUUUCUAAGCCCUUGAGGGUUGGAACAAAGUCAAGAAGAAGCGGAGGAAGGGGCAAAAAGAGCCCAUUGACAAGUACUGUUGUGAGCUGG
rnacentral:lncRNA from 1 species